GGCGGUACCUGAAGAAAGAGCAUCGGCUAACUCCGUGCCAGCAGCCGCGGUAAUACGGAGGAUGCAAGCGUUAUCCGGAAUCAUUGGGCGUAAAGGGUCCGCAGGUGGCGAAUAAAGUCUGCUGUUAAAGACCGGGGCUAAACUCCGGAAAGGCAGUGGAAACUGAUUAGCUAGAGUACGGUAGGGGUAGAGGGAAUUCCCAGUGUAGCGGUGUAAUGCGUAGAUAUUGGGAAGAACACCGGUGGCGAAAGCGCUCUACUAGGCCGAAACUGACACUGAGGGACGAAAGCUAGGGUAGCGAAAGGGAUUAGAUACCCCUGUAGUCUUAGCUGUAAACGAUGGAUACUAGGCGUAGCUUGUAUCGACCCGAGCUGUGCCGAAGCUAACGCGAUAAGUAUCCCGCCUGGGGAGUACGCACGCAAGUGUGAAACUCAAAGGAAUUGACGGGGGUCCGCACAAGCGGUGGAGUAUGUGGUUUAAUUCGAUGCAACGCGAAGAACCUUACCAGGGCUAGACAUGUCGCGAAUCUGGCGGAAACGUUAGAGUGCCUUAGGGAACGCGAACACAGGUGGUGCAUGGCCGUCGUCAGCUCGUGUCGUGAGAUGUUGGGUUAAGUCCCGCAACGAGCGCAACCCUCGUCCUUAGUUGCCAAUAUUAAGUUAGGCACUCUAGGGAGACUGCCGGGGACAACUCGGAGGAAGGUGGGGAUGACGUCAAGUCAGCAUGCCCCUUACGUCCUGGGCGACACACGUACUACAAUGGUUGGGACAAAGGGCAGCAAGCUCGCGAGAGUAAGCGAAUCUCAUCAAACCCAGCCACAGUUCAGAUUGCAGGCUGCAACUCGCCUGCAUGAAGUAGGAAUCGCUAGUAAUCGCAGGUCAGCAUACUGCGGUGAAUUCGUUCCCGGGCCUUGUACACACCGCCCGUCACACCAUGGAAGCUGGCUACGCCCGAAGUCGUUACCCUAACCCGGUUUUGGGAGGGGGAUGCCGAAGGUAGAGCUAGUGACUGGGGUGAAGUCGUAACAAGGUAGCCGUACCGGAAGGUGUGGCUGGAUCACCUCCUUU
rnacentral:rRNA from 1 species